UUCACUUGCUUAUAGUGUUGAAGGUGUUUG
rnacentral:piRNA from 1 species